rnacentral:rRNA from 1 species
CAAUAGCGUAUAUUAAAGUUGUUGCAGUUAAAAAGCUCGUAGUUGGAUUUCUGAUCGAGACAUCAGGUCGGGUCCGAGAGGAUCAUGUACUUUGAUUUUGUUUUGAUCAUCCUUGGGGAGAGCAUUUCUGGCAUUCAGUUGUCGGGAUUGGGAUCCCCAUCGUUUACUGUGAAAAAAUUAGAGUGUUCAAAGCAGGCCUCGGCCUCUGAAUACAUUAGCAUGGAAUAAUAAGAUAGGACUUUGGUGGUCUAUUUUGUUGGUUUGCACGCCAAAGUAAUGAUUAAUAGGGAUAGUUGGGGGUAUUCGUAUUCAAUUGUCAGAGGUGAAAUUCUUGGAUUUAUGGAAGACGAACUACUGCGAAAGCAUUUACCAAGGAUGUUUUCAUUAA